rnacentral:rRNA from 1 species
UACGGGGGGGGCAAGCGUUGUUCGGAAUUACUGGGCGUAAAGGGCGCGUAGGCGGUUCGAUAAGUCAGCUGUGAAAACCAUGGGCUUAACUCAUGGCCUGCAGUUGAGACUGUCGGGCUGGAGUGUGGGAGAGGAGAGUGGAAUUCCUGGUGUAGCGGUGAAAUGCGUAGAUAUCAGGAGGAACACCGGUGGAGAAGGCGGCUCUCUGGACCACAACUGACGCUGAGGCGCGAAAGCUAGGGGAGCAAACAGG